CCCAAUGUGGGACUGGAACUCCCCACCAGAGAUCAGGAGUUGCAUGCUGUACUGACUGAGCCAGCGAGGCACCCGUAGAAAUCACCUUUUUCAUCAAAUGGCUUCACCAACCUCUUUAGAAUCCAGUGCACAAGACCAAGGAAUGGGCCCAGGAAUCCUUUGGAGGAAAUAUGGAGAGCAUUGGCAAUAGUUGUUAAGGGCAGAGCUGGAUGGAGGUCAUGACAGGAAGCAGUGCAAAGUGAAUGCUACAUCAGAAUGCGUCAGUAGUCUCCCUCUCUUACUCCUCUGACAGUCACCACAGAGCAGUCAAUGUUUUGAGAUAGUAGAAUUUUUAUUUCAAUUCUCCACUAAUUGAUGUGAAUGAUAUAUAAAAACAAAGCGAUUCUAAACCUUAAAUAUUUCUCUGAAGAUAGAUAAAAUCUAUUUCCCCCUUCCCAAGAAGUACGCAUGGGUUGAACUCCAAUGUUGCUGCUUUUGUUUUGCAAUGGUCUGAAGUUCAGUACAGUGAAAUCCAGUUACCCAACUGGAGUUAACUAUACCAAGGCAAUGGAUACCAGCAAGAAAGGUGUGGAAAACAAUGCCGGUACCCAUUUGUUCCUCGGUUGGAUCAGAAGAGUUUCAGUGAUACCAAAUCUUGUGCCGGUUGUGACAUCUGUGUCCAUGAAUAUGCUGACUGUGACUGGGCACCCUUCAUAUGAAGAGAUCUGAGUUCUUCAUGGCAUGCCAGAUGCAGUUGCUAUUAUUGGAUAAUCAUCCAAUUUCUCCAUAUGCCUUCCAAGGGAAAACGAGUCAAUUUCAGAGUUUCCAGAAACAUUAUUUAGACAAGGUGCAACCAGUUUGUCUUUCAAUAAAUAUGAAUUGCUUCAAGCAAGAAAGAUUCUGGCAACAUGUGCUCUCCACUCUGAAUCUCAAAAACCUGAGGACAUGUCACACCCAGGUCAAACCAACACAUUUCCAAAAGUUGUUCAUCCGAUUCAAUUGAUAACAUCAACUAUUGGGCACAGACUUCAUUUCCCAAUCCUUCAUGACACAUUUUAUGAUCUGGAAGAUGGCAACUCAGCUCACUUGAUACUUGCCAUAAAAUCAGCAAAUGAAUAUCCUUCAGGCCCAGACAGCAGGCUGCAAUUUAAUGCUUCUCAUCAAAUACUACAUGGAUACCCCCCCUUUGAAUGGAUUUUAAUUGUUUCCCUCAGGAAUUGAUUCUUUAUGCCAGAUUCUGGGGCCCUGGCUGCUCAGAUGCUUUUCACCAUUGAACUGAACCUGCCCAGAAAUACUCCCUGCCACAGUUAAACACUCCAUGCACAAAAAACAGUUUCUACCCAUUUGUAAAGAAAAGAGAGAGGGUUGGUUUUUUGUUUUUUGUUUGUUUGG